UAGACUUAGGAGCUGGCAUCAGGCACAGAUUUCUAGCCCACAACGCCUAGUUUCACCACACCCCCAAGGGUACUCAGCAGUGAUAAAUAUUGAUCAUAAGCGUCAGCUUGACUCAGUUAAAGAAAAUAAGAGCCGGCCAAUCUGGUGCCAGCCGCCGCGGCUACACCAGGAGGCUCAAGUUGACAAUCACCGGCGUUAAGCGUGAUUAAAGAAAAAACUUGAUUAGGGAUAAAUUUAAAUUAUAGUAGUAAUAAGCUUAUUAUUUAGAAAAACAAAACGAAAGUUACUCUAACACACUCGAAUACACGACAGCUAGAAAACAAACUGGGAUUAGAUACCCCACUAUGUCUUGCCGUAAACUAUAUACCUACAACAACCACGCCAGGGUCUUACGAGCUUAAGCUUAAAACCCAAAGGACUUGACGGUGUCCCACCCACCUAGAGGAGCCUGUUCUAUAAUCGACACUCCYCGCUUCACCUCACCAUUUUUAGCCUCUCAGCCUGUAUACCUCCGUCGCAAGCUUACCCUAUGAACGUAUUAGUAAGCCCAAAGGUUCACCCACCAGCACGCCAGGUCA
rnacentral:rRNA from 1 species